GGCGAAGCCUGAUCCAGCCAUGCCGCGUGUGUGAAGAAGGUCUUCGGAUUGUAAAGCACUUUCAGUUGGGAGGAAGGGCAUUAACCUAAUACGUUAGUGUUUUGACGUUACCGACAGAAUAAGCACCGGCUAACUUCGUG
rnacentral:rRNA from 1 species